rnacentral:rRNA from 1 species
GUGCCAGCCGCCGCGGUAACACGUAGGGGGCAAGCGUUGUCCGGAAUUAUUGGGCGUAAAGGGCGUGUAGGCGGUUAAUUAAGUCAGGUGUGAAAACCCGGGGCUUAACCCCGGGAUUGCACCUGAAACUGAUUAACUUGAGGGCAAGAGAGGAAAGCGGAAUUCCUAGUGUAGCGGUGAAAUGCGUAGAUAUUAGGAGGAACACCAGUGGCGAAGGCGGCUUUCUGGCUUGACCCUGACGCUGAGGCGCGAAAGCGUGGGGAGCAAACAGGAUUAGAUACCCUGGUAGUCCACGCCGUAAACGAUGGGUACUAGGUGUAGGAGGUAUCGACCCCUUCUGUGCCGUAGCAAACGCAUUAAGUACCCCGCCUGGGGAGUACGUUCGCAAGAAUGAAACUCAAAUGAAUUGGCGG